rnacentral:rRNA from 1 species
AUUGAACGCUGGCGGCAGGCCUAACACAUGCAAGUCGAACGAGUGGCGGACGGGUGAGUAAUGUCUGGGAAACUGCCUGAUGGAGGGGGAUAACUACUGGAAACGGUAGCUAAUACCGCAUACCAUCGGAUGUGCCCAGAUGGGAUUAGCUAGUAGGUGGGGUAAAGGCUCACCUAGGCGACGAUCCCUAGCUGGUCUGGGAGGAUGAUCAGCCACACUGGGACUGAGACACGGCCCAGACUCCUACGGGAGGCAGCAGUGGGGAAUAUUGCACAAUGGGCGCAAGCCUGAUGCAGCCAUGCCGCGUGUAUGAAGAAGGCCUUCGGGUUGUAAAGUACUUUCAGUCGGGAGGCGUUACCGACAGAAGAAGCACCGGCUAACUCCGUGCCAGCAGCCGCGGUAAUUC